UGUGUGUUAGUGGAAGCGUCUGGAAAGGCGCGCGAUACAGGGUGACAGCCCCGUACACAAAAAUGCACAUGCUGUGAGCUCGAUGAGUAGGGCGGGACACGUGGUAUCCUGUCUGAAUAUGGGGGGACCAUCCUCCAAGGCUAAAUACUCCUGACUGACCGAUAGUGAACCAGUACCGUGAGGGAAAGGCGAAAAGAACCCCGGCGAGGGGAGUGAAAAAGAACCUGAAACCGUGUACGUACAAGCAGUGGGAGCCUCUUUUAUGGGGUGACUGCGUACCUUUUGUAUAAUGGGUCAGCGACUUAUAUUCUGUAGCAAGGUUAACCGAAUAGGGGAGCCGAAGGGAAACCGAGUCUUAACUGGGCGUUAAGUUGCAGGGUAUAGACCCGAAACCCGGUGAUCUAGCCAUGGGCAGGUUGAAGGUUGGGUAACACUAACUGGAGGACCGAACCGACUAAUGUUGAAAAAUUAGCGGAUGACUUGUGGCUGGGGGUGAAAGGCCAAUCAAACCGGGAGAUAGCUGGUUCUCCCCGAAAGCUAUUUAGGUAGCGCCUCGUGAAUUCAUCUCCGGGGGUAGAGCACUGUUUCGGCAAGGGGGUCAUCCCGACUUACCAACCCGAUGCAAACUGCGAAUACCGGAGAAUGUUAUCACGGGAGACACACGGCGGGUGCUAACGUCCGUCGUGAAGAGGGAAACAACCCAGACCGCCAGCUAAGGUCCCAAAGUCAUGGUUAAGUGGGAAACGAUGUGGGAAGGCCCAGACAGCCAGGAUGUUGGCUUAGAAGCAGCCAUCAUUUAAAGAAAGCGUAAUAGCUCACUGGUCGAGUCGGCCUGCGCGGAAGAUGUAACGGGGCUAAACCAUGCACCGAAGCUGCGGCAGCGACGCUUAUGCGUUGUUGGGUAGGGGAGCGUUCUGUAAGCCUGUGAAGGUGUGCUGUGAGGCAUGCUGGAGGUAUCAGAAGUGCGAAUGCUGACAUAAGUAACGAUAAAGCGGGUGAAAAGCCCGCUCGCCGGAAGACCAAGGGUUCCUGUCCAACGUUAAUCGGGGCAGGGUGAGUCGACCCCUAAGGCGAGGCCGAAAGGCGUAGUCGAUGGGAAACAGGUUAAUAUUCCUGUACUUGGUGUUACUGCGAAGGGGGGACGGAGAAGGCUAUGUUGGCCGGGCGACGGUUGUCCCGGUUUAAGCGUGUAGGCUGGUUUUCCAGGCAAAUCCGGAAAAUCAAGGCUGAGGCGUGAUGACGAGGCACUACGGUGCUGAAGCAACAAAUGCCCUGCUUCCAGGAAAAGCCUCUAAGCAUCAGGUAACAUCAAAUCGUACCCCAAACCGACACAGGUGGUCAGGUAGAGAAUACCAAGGCGCUUGAGAGAACUCGGGUGAAGGAACUAGGCAAAAUGGUGCCGUAACUUCGGGAGAAGGCACGCUGAUAUGUAGGUGAAGCGACUUGCUCGUGGAGCUGAAAUCAGUCGAAGAUACCAGCUGGCUGCAACUGUUUAUUAAAAACACAGCACUGUGCAAACACGAAAGUGGACGUAUACGGUGUGACGCCUGCCCGGUGCCGGAAGGUUAAUUGAUGGGGUCAGCGCAAGCGAAGCUCUUGAUCGAAGCCCCGGUAAACGGCGGCCGUAACUAUAACGGUCCUAAGGUAGCGAAAUUCCUUGUCGGGUAAGUUCCGACCUGCACGAAUGGCGUAAUGAUGGCCAGGCUGUCUCCACCCGAGACUCAGUGAAAUUGAACUCGCUGUGAAGAUGCAGUGUACCCGCGGCAAGACGGAAAGACCCCGUGAACCUUUACUAUAGCUUGACACUGAACAUUGAGCCUUGAUGUGUAGGAUAGGUGGGAGGCUUUGAAGUGUGGACGCCAGUCUGCAUGGAGCCGACCUUGAAAUACCACCCUUUAAUGUUUGAUGUUCUAACGUUGACCCGUAAUCCGGGUUGCGGACAGUGUCUGGUGGGUAGUUUGACUGGGGCGGUCUCCUCCUAAAGAGUAACGGAGGAGCACGAAGGUUGGCUAAUCCUGGUCGGACAUCAGGAGGUUAGUGCAAUGGCAUAAGCCAGCUUGACUGCGAGCGUGACGGCGCGAGCAGGUGCGAAAGCAGGUCAUAGUGAUCCGGUGGUUCUGAAUGGAAGGGCCAUCGCUCAACGGAUAAAAGGUACUCCGGGGAUAACAGGCUGAUACCGCCCAAGAGUUCAUAUCGACGGCGGUGUUUGGCACCUCGAUGUCGGCUCAUCACAUCCUGGGGCUGAAGUAGGUCCCAAGGGUAUGGCUGUUCGCCAUUUAAAGUGGUACGCGAGCUGGGUUUAGAACGUCGUGAGACAGUUCGGUCCCUAUCUGCCGUGGGCGCUGGAGAACUGAGGGGGGCUGCUCCUAGUACGAGAGGACCGGAGUGGACGCAUCACUGGUGUUCGGGUUGUCAUGCCAAUGGCACUGCCCGGUAGCUAAAUGCGGAAGAGAUAAGUGCUGAAAGCAUCUAAGCACGAAACUUGCC
rnacentral:rRNA from 1 species